GAUGAAGAACGCAGCGAAAUGCGAUAAGUAAUGUGAAUUGCAGAAUUCAGUGAAUCAUCGAAUCUUUGAACGCACCUUGCACCCUUUGGCAUUCUGAAGGGUAUGCUCGUUUGAGUGUCAUUGUACUCUCGCACUCCCGAUCUUUGCAUUGGGAGCAGUGGACUUGGGUUUGCUGCUUCACCGUCGCUUACCUCAAAUAGGUUAGUGCAACUCUUGGUUGGACAUAGUACGGCGUGAUAAGUGUUCUUCGCCGGUGCCUCGCAAAGAGGGUGGCCGAUCGGGAUGUUGUGCUCCAAACCGUCUUCGGACAAUCUCUGACGACUUGACCUCAAAUCGAGUAAGACUACCCGCUGAACUUAAGCAUAUCAAUAAGCGGAGGA
rnacentral:misc_RNA from 1 species